rnacentral:misc_RNA from 1 species
GAUGAAGAACGCAGCGAAAUGCGAUAAGUAAUGUGAAUUGCAGAAUUCAGUGAAUCACCGAAUCUUUGAACGCACAUUGCGCCCCCUGGUAUUCCGGGGGGCAUGCCUGUCCGAGCGUCAUUACAACCCUCAAGCUCAGCUUGGUAUUGGGCCCCGCCGCUCCGGCGGGCCCUAAAGUCAGUGGCGGUGCCGUCCGGCUCCGAGCGUAGUAAUUCUUCUCGCUCUGGAGGUCCGGUCGUGUGCUCGCCAGCAACCCCCAAUUUUUUUCAGGUUGACCUCGGAUCAGGUAGGGAUACCCGCUGAACUUAAGCAUAUCAAUAAGCGGAGGA